AGCAGCCGCGGUAAUUCCAGCUCCAAUAGCGUAUAUUAAAGUUGUUGCAGUUAAAAAGCUCGUAGUUGAAUUUCGGGAUCGAUGUGUCGGUCGUGCUUUUUGGUACGUACUGGCGUCACCGGUUUCUCCUUUCUGACGAGCCGUGAUGUCAUUAAUUUGGUGUUACGGGUAGUUAGGACUGUUACUUUGAAAAAAUUAGAGUGUUUAAAGCAGGCAUUGGCUUGAAUACAUUAGCAUGGAAUAAUGAAAUAGGACGUUCGAUCCUAUUUUGUUGGUUUUUAGGAUCAACGUAAUGAUUAAUAGGGAUAGUUGGGGGCAUUAGUAUUCAAUUGUCAGAGGUGAAAUUCUUGGAUUUAUUGAAGACUAACUACUGCGAAGGCAUUUGCCAAGGAUGUUUUCAUUAAUCAAGAACGAAAGUUAGGGGAUCGAAGACGAUCAGAUACCAUCGUAGUCUUAACCAUAAACUAUGCCGACUAGGGAUCGGAUGAUGUUAAUUUUUUAAUGACUCA
rnacentral:rRNA from 1 species